rnacentral:rRNA from 1 species
UACGGAGGGUGCAAACGUUGCUCGGAAUCAUUGGGCGUAAAGCGCGCGUAGGCGGCCAGCGAAGUUGGGUGUGAAAGCCCUGAGCUCAACUCAGGACGUGCACCCAAAACUGGUUGGCUUGAGUUCUGGAGGGGGUCGAAGAAUUCCCGGUGUAGAGGUGAAAUUCGUAGAUAUCGGGAGGAAUACCAGUGGCGAAGGCGUCGACCUGGACAGAAACUGACGCUGAGGCGCGAAAGCGUGGGGAGCAAACAGG